rnacentral:rRNA from 1 species
UACAGAGGUCCCAAGCGUUGUUCGGAUUUACUGGGCGUAAAGGGCGCGUAGGCGGCCUUCUAAGUCGAACGUGAAAUCCCCGGGCUCAACCCGGGAACUGCGUCCGAGACUGGAAGGCUUGAAUCCGGGAGAGGGAUGUGGAAUUCCAGGUGUAGCGGUGAAAUGCGUAGAGAUCCGGAGGAACACCGGUGGCGAAGGCGGCUGGCUGGACCUGUCCUGACGCUGAGGCGCGAAGGCGUGGGGAGCGAACGGG